rnacentral:rRNA from 1 species
UGCGUAGGGGGCAAGCGUUGUCCGGAAUCAUUGGGCGUAAAGAGCGUGUAGGCGGCCAGAUAAGUCCGCUGUGAAAUCUCGAGGCUCAACUUCGAGCUGUCGGUGGAAACUGUCUGGCUAGAGUCCGGAAGAGGAGAAUGGAAUUCCUGGUGUAGCGGUGAAAUGCGCAGAUAUCAGGAAGAACACCCGUGGCGAAGGCGGCUCACUGGUCCGGUACUGACGCUGAGGUGCGAAAGCGUGGGGAGCAAACAGG